rnacentral:ncRNA from 2 species
CGUUGAGGUAGAGGUCGCAUUGUUUAAGAGUAUACUGAUGGAUACGUCAUACACGUAAUUGAAACCAGUAGAAAGGAAACGAUGCCGAAGAAGAUAAGUGUAUGAGCUUAAAUUCUGGGCUGUUACUGAAUAGGUAACAGACUGUCACACAUAUUGUGAUGCGCUACUAAAUGG